UACGGAGGAGGCAAGCGUUAUCCGGAAUUAUCGGGCGUAAAGCGUCCGCAGGUGGCAAUUCGAGUCUGUCGUCAAAGACCGGGGCUUAACCCCAGAAAGGCGGUGGAAACUGAACAGCUAGAGUGCGGUAGGGGUAGAGGGAAUUCCCGGUGUAGCGGUGAAAUGCGUAGAGACCCGGAGGAACACCAGUGGCGAAGACGGCUCCCUGGUCCGCGACUGACGCUGUGGCGCGAAAGCUGGGGGAGCGAACGGG
rnacentral:rRNA from 1 species